GUCUUGUUGAUAAUAAUUUUAAGUCUGACCUGCCCACUGAGGGUUUAAAUGGCCGCGGUAUUUUGACCGUGCAAAGGUAGCAUAAUCAUUAGUUUUUUAAUUGGAAGCUUGAAUGAAGGGUUUGAUGAAAAAAAAUCUGUCUCUGUAAAAGUGAUUUAGAAUUUUAUUUUUAAGUUAAAAAGCUUAAAUUUUUAUAGAAGACGAGAAGACCCUAUAGAGUUUAAUAUUUAUAUGAAAGAGGAGUUUAAAGGAAGGAAUGAGAUGUUAUUUUUUAUGUAAGUAUUUUGUUGGGGUGAUAGAAAAAUUAAGUAAACUUUUUUUCUAGUGGAAGAUACAUUUAUUUGUGGAUAUAUGAUCCUAUUGUUUAGAUUAGAAGAUUAAACUACCUUAGGGAUAACAGCGUUAUUUUUUUAAGAGUUCUUAUCGAAAAAAAAGAUUGCGACCUCGAUGUUGGAUUAAAAUUAAUUGUUGGUGUAGGAGCUAGCAUAUUAGGUCUGUUCGACCUUUAAAAUUUUACAUGAUCUGAGUUUAGACCGGUGUAAG
rnacentral:rRNA from 1 species